rnacentral:tRNA from 1 species
UCCCAUAUGGUCUAGUGGUUAGGCUUCCUAGUUUUUUACCCAGGGGGCCUGGGUGUGACUCCCAUUAUGGGAA